ACACCGCUGGCGACCGGCGCACGGGUGAGUAACACGUAUCCAACCUGCCCUUUACUCGGGGAUAGCCUUUCGAAAGAAAGAUUAAUACCCGAUGGUAUAACAUGACCUCCUGGUUUUGUUAUUAAAGAAUUUCGGUAGAGGAUGGGGAUGCGUUCCAUUAGGCAGUUGGCGGGGUAACGGCCCACCAAACCUUCGAUGGAUAGGGGUUCUGAGAGGAAGGUCCCCCACAUUGGAACUGAGACACGGUCCAAACUCCUACGGGAGGCAGCAGUGAGGAAUAUUGGUCAAUGGGCGAGAGCCUGAACCAGCCAAGUAGCGUGAAGGAUGACCGCCCUAUGGGUUGUAAACUUCUUUUAUAUGGGAAUAAAGUUUGCCACGUGUGGCAUUUUGUAUGUACCAUAUGAAUAAGGAUCGGCUAACUCCGUGCCAGCAGCCGCGGUAAUACGGAGGAUCCGAGCGUUAUCCGGAUUUAUUGGGUUUAAAGGGAGCGUAGGUGGACAUGUAAGUCAGUUGUGAAAGU
rnacentral:rRNA from 1 species